CGGUAGGCCUAACACAUGCAAGUCGAACGGCAGCACAGGAGAGCUUGCUCUCUGGGUGGCGAGUGGCGGACGGGUGAGGAAUACAUCGGAAUCUACUUUUUCGUGGGGGAUAACGUAGGGAAACUUACGCUAAUACCGCAUACGACCUACGGGUGAAAGCAGGGGAUCUUCGGACCUUGCGCGAUUGAAUGAGCCGAUGUCGGAUUAGCUAGUUGGCGGGGUAAAGGCCCACCAAGGCGACGAUCCGUAGCUGGUCUGAGAGGAUGAUCAGCCACACUGGAACUGAGACACGGUCCAGACUCCUACGGGAGGCAGCAGUGGGGAAUAUUGGACAAUGGGCGCAAGCCUGAUCCAGCCAUACCGCGUGGGUGAAGAAGGCCUUCGGGUUGUAAAGCCCUUUUGUUGGGAAAGAAAUCCAGCUGGUUAAUACCCGGUUGGGAUGACGGUACCCAAAGAAUAAGCACCGGCUAACUUCGUGCCAGCAGCCGCGGUAAUACGAAGGGUGCAAGCGUUACUCGGAAUUACUGGGCGUAAAGCGUGCGUAGGUGGUCGUUUAAGUCCGUUGUGAAAGCCCUGGGCUCAACCUGGGAACUGCAGUGGAUACUGGACGACUAGAGUGUGGUAGAGGGUAGCGGAAUUCCUGGUGUAGCAGUGAAAUGCGUAGAGAUCAGGAGGAACAUCCAUGGCGAAGGCAGCUACCUGGACCAACACUGACACUGAGGCACGAAAGCGUGGGGAGCAAACAGGAUUAUAUACCCUGGGAGUC
rnacentral:rRNA from 1 species